AUUAGGUAUUUCCUGUGGCUGCACCGAAAGUCGGAAAGAUUUCUCUGCAAGGUACCAGCUCCGAGCUCGACAACUGGUCUGUUUUGUCUCUACAUAAUUUAUUUAUAUGAAAUUCUUUAACUUUCAUGAUAAAAUAUAUCUCUUUGCUUUAAAACAAAAGUCACGACAAUGCUUCGAAAACCUGCGUUUUAUUUAUGCACCGAUAGUCAAUAAAAAAAAGCUAAGGCAAAACACUUCCUUAGCAUUUUCUCUGAUUGAAAUUCAACGCAUUGUCAUCUACAUGUUUUGAUUCGUGAAUUCUCUGUAUGAAUGCAAAGGUAUAUAAACUCUAUUUAUGAUUGAUUAUCUGAUCGGUAUUUAUAAAUUGAGCCCACUUAGGAAUGCUAUUGUUAACAACACAAAGACUUAUCUGAGUUUUUAAUCACAGGUGUCUGUUGUUGCAUAACUGUUGUGUGAUGUCACUUUAUUUCUAUAGAAGACACUGUGCUUUCAUAUUGUGAAAGUUUUCUUUUAACAGUGUAUUUGUCAAUUUUACAUAAUUUUUCUUUGCGAUUCAUGAUUUAUAGGAUGAAUGUAUAAAUUCUAAUAUUUUCAAUCUGGUGUAUUUUUUAAACUAACAAAUAGAGAAUAUUCUGUAAGGCAUAAUUGGUAUUACUUUUGCAAGUUAAUGCUCAGAAUGAUUUUUUUUCUGGAGGGCAAAGGGUUUGGUGGGGUGUUAAUCUCGAAAGAAACCAAUAAUUUAGAUGAAUUCUUCAUGUGUUACAUCACAGGUUAUCCAGACAAGAGGACCUGUUUAUGAUUACCAUGACAACACCUUCUUGUGAUUGCUGAAGGUAUAAACUGCACCAGAGUAAAUCAGCCAACUUAUUUCUAUGUCCGACUCCUCGACGAAUCUGCAUAGUGUUUUUGGACAUCAUUUCCUCUGGUUCAGUCCAUUCCAUUGCAUGCUGGGUCGUGACAUCGAUAUGCUGAAUUAUAUCUAACAAUGCUAUCAUGUCAUGGCCUUGGAUUCAGUCAACAUUUAAAUAUAUGGAAUGCUUAACUGGGUAUUUGUGGUCAAAAAAAGAUAUUCAUUAAGUAUUCCAUCUGCAGAAUUCUCAUUGGUAUUUCUACAUGAUUUACAGUGAACUUGAAAUAUCUCUUCAAUGACCAGAUUGGAUAUUGACUGUGCAUGGUAUCACAGUAUGUUUUUUAACUGAAACAGAGAAUCAUUUAGUGGAAGAUUGAAAAUGGAAUUCUUUCACAUUUGUAUUCUUGUGUUUCAAUGGAAAAGCAUGAUGAUUUGGUCAUUGGAGAGGUGUCUCUUGUCCCUGAGAUUGGUAAGAGAGGUAAUUUUUCACUCAUGUGUUAGUUCACUUGUAUCAUGUGUAUCUUGUUGUGAUGGAUAGAUACAUACUGAUAUCUGGACACAUGGGAGAAGAUCCCCUAAACUUGCAUUGACUGCCAUGCAGGUAAGUUAAUGAAGUCAACAGUGACUGCACUUGACUCGUCUUAUCUUCAGGGAAAGUCUCAAAGCUUGAAAAAAAAUUAUUUAUGCCAUUGGUUGUUGUGGAUGGCUUUUUUCCACUUGACAACUAAUGGGUAAAUGAUGCUAACACCUUUGAAAGAAAUCAGAAAAUUGUCUUAAAA
rnacentral:sRNA from 1 species